GUGAAUUGUUUGAGUUGGAAUUGUCGAGGGCUUGGGAACCCUGAGAUAGUUCGAGAGCUUCGCAAAGUUGUGAAGCAGGAAAGUCCCUCCCUUCUGUUCGUUAUGGAAACAGAGAUUCAAGGGAAACGUGUUGAAAGUCUUAAGAACUUACUUGGGUUUACUGGUUGUUUUGCUGUUGAUAGCAAUGGCCUUAGUGGAGGCAUUGGGAUGUACUGGAAUGAUAGCGUGCAUGUUGAACUCAAGAAUUACAGUAAGGCUCAUAUUGACGUGUAUGUCAAGGGGAAUGAUCAGACUGAACCUUGGCAUUUCACAGGUUUCUACGGAGAACCUCGAGCGGAAAAUAGACAUCACAGCUGGGAGUUUUUGUGUACCUUACAUGGCGUCCAGCAUGAAGGGUGGCUAUGCAUGGGUGACUUCAAUGAGACCAUGUAUCCAACCGAGCAUUUUAGUGAGCACGCAAGGCCGGAGUGGCAAAUGCGCUCGUUUCAUGAUGUUGUUGAUUUUUGCUCUUUCCAAGAUCUUGGAUGGAGAGGUGUUCCCUUUACAUGGGAUAAUAAGCAGCAGGGUAAUGCUAAUGUAAAAGCUAGACUUGACCGUGCUCUUGUUAAUGCUAAUUUCCUAUCCUUGUAUGUGUAUUCGUGUGUCAAGCAUAUUAGCUCAACAGCAUCUGACCAUUGA
rnacentral:rRNA from 1 species